GAUUUUGAAACCCUAAACAAAUUCACGCACACAACUACAGUCUUCAUUUCUCCUCUGCAUCUCCUUCUUCUUCACUCUAUGCAACAAAACCCUAGAUGAAACCAGUGCCCUCACCCUCUCUCUCUCUCUCUCGCGACACCUGCUCCGGCGACGGAGCCGGAGGUGCCGGCUGUUGCCGGCUAUUCUUGUUCCAACCACACCCGACGAGACACCCGACCCCCACUUCAUCUUACACACCACUCACCCCUGUUCUUGUUCCUUCAAAGACACACCCAGCCACACCUUUCUCCUCUCCCUCUCCGAUUCGAGCUCCGACGACCUCUCUGGCUUCACCCCCAUGUCCCGUUUUUCCGAUGAUGGUGACGGCGGUUGCUUGAGGCUGCUCUCCGGACGAUGAUGACGAAGACGGAGGUGAUGGUGCGAUGGUAAAAAGGCUGCUCCGACUAAAACUCCGGUAAGCUUUGUGAUCUAGUUCUUCUACAUCUUGGUUUCUUGUAGAUCUCCAUUUUUUUUUUGGCAGUUUUGUGUUGUAUCAGGAGGUUGGGGGUGUUGAUGAUGAUGGUGGUGUCUGGUCAUUGACGACGACCGUCGGAAGAGCACACGACACCGCCACGCGGUGGCGGCAAUUAUGGUGAGGUUCUGGUUCAGGUUUUGGUCACAGGCUCGGGUUCAACUUCGAGUUCUGGUACGGGUUAACUUCGGGUCAGAUUUGGGUUUGGGUUGUUUCGGGUGUUUCAAGUGAGUUUCCGGAUUGGUUCGGGUUCACGGCACAGCGGGUCUCGAUCAAAGCUGGUCAACCGCGGUUCGGGUGCGGUUCGAUGGGUCAGAUUGUGGUUCGUGACAAUUUGGGUCAACAAGUCAAACCCGGUCAACUCGGUUCGAUGUCGGGUCAACUCAGUCAACGCUAGUCAAAGACUCCGUCAAACCCGAGUCAACUCGGGUCCACAGCGGUCAACUCGAAGAAUCGGAAUGUCAUAGUUGCACGCUAGCCAAAUACACGUUCUUGGAACGACACUACGGAAUCACGCUAAGCUAGCAUUGCCCAGGAAUGUCAAGUUGCAUUUUACAAACUAUGGAACGGUUGGAAUAGGAGAACCCAUGGGGAUUCGAGUACUUAGCGGGCGUUCAACUGUUUAGAAGUCUUAGCUCAAAUACUUCCGCUGUGCACUGAAGAUACCAGUCCAGUCACGCCAGCUCUGAUAUUUCGGGGUGUGACAAAAAUAAGCAGUGAGUGGUGGUGGUCGGUGGUAGUGAUUAUGGGUGGUUAUAGGUGGCGAUGGUGGGUGGUGGCGG